rnacentral:rRNA from 1 species
CAUGCAGUCGAGCGGAUGACAGGAGCUUGCUCCUGAUUCAGCGGCGGACGGGUGAGUAAUGCCUAGGAAUCUGCCUGGUAGUGGGGGACAACGUUUCGAAAGGAACGCUAAUACCGCAUACGUCCUACGGGAGAAAGCAGGGGACCUUCGGGCCUUGCGCUAUCAGAUGAGCCUAGGUCGGAUUAGCUAGUUGGUGAGGUAAUGGCUCACCAAGGCGACGAUCCGUAACUGGUCUGAGAGGAUGAUCAGUCACACUGGAACUGAGACACGGUCCAGACUCCUACGGGAGGCAGCAGUGGGGAAUAUUGGCAUGGGCGAAGCUGAUCCAGCAUGCGCGUGUGUGAAGAAGGCUCGGAUUGUAAGCAUUUAGUUGGAAGAGGUGUAAAUAUACCUGCAUUUGACUUCCCACAAAUAACCCGCUACUUGUGCACACCGGGAUAAAAGGGCAGCUUAACGAAUUCGGGUAAACCCCCAGGGUCUAUGGAUGAAUCCCCGGGCCCCGGGAAAGGUUAAAUUGUGUUGAAGGGAAGGGGGGAAUCCUGGGCCGCAAAGGGUAAA